AUUGAACGCUGGCGGCAGGCUUAACACAUGCAAGUCGAACGAGUGGCGGACGGGUGAGUAAUGCUUGGGAAUCUGGCUUAUGGAGGGGGAUAACGACGGGAAACUGUCGCUAAUACCGCGUACCAUAGGCUGAGACCAAGGGGGAUUAGGUAGUUGGUGGGGUAAUGGCCUACCAAGCCGACGAUCUCUAGCUGGUCUGAGAGGAUGACCAGCCACACCGGGACUGAGACACGGCCCGGACUCCUACGGGAGGCAGCAGUGGGGAAUAUUUCGCAAUGGGGGCAACCCUGACGCAGCCAUGCCGCGUGAAUGAAGAAGGCCUUCGGGUUGUAAAGCACUUUCAGCGGGGAGGCGUUACCCGCAGAAGAAGCACCGGCUAACUCCGUGCCAGCAGCCGCGGUAAUUC
rnacentral:rRNA from 1 species